CCAAUAAAAGACGACAUAAUUUAGGAGAUAAGAUUUCUGUAUAUUUCUUGUAAAACCAGCUUGUGAAUAUGAAACUUUUUAUUCUGAUGGCUUUAUGCCUUAUUUCUCUCGCUGUGCCUUCAAUGGCAGAUCCACAACUACCUCUUCCCCCAAUGCGACCAUAUCCAUAUCCAGGACGUGGUUCUGGUUAAGGACAAAAAGUUAUUGUAAAUAAAUCGAAUAUUGCAAUUUUAAAAUAUUUGCAAUUAUGAA